rnacentral:piRNA from 1 species
UACACUUGUGCAUAUGUACUG